UAAAAAAAAAUUAGCCUCGUAGCACAAACUGAAAAAGUUUAAGAACCAAAGCCGCUCCUCUCAACUUUGACUUUUUGUUUUGCUGUUUAAUGUAGAAUUUUGGAUUACCUCUGGAUUCACUGUAAUGAAGAAUCAUCUGCUGUAGUGACAUCUACAAGAACUAACUUGACUUGGAAAUAACUUACUGGCUUAUGGGGAGUCAUCUACAACUAUAACUUUGGAGGGUUUAAGAAUAUUGGCUGCUGUGAUUUAGUCGUCCCUUGAGGAGAGAAGGCAAGUCAAGAAGGAUUUCAGGGUGUUGUUCCAUUUCAAUUUACCAGGUUUUUCUUCAUUUAUGAGAUGUGAGCUUCAGCUGAUUUGUAAUAGGUUGUAGAAGAGUAAUCACUUGUAUUUCUGCUAGAAAGCAUUCUGCAGG